GUGCGUGUGUGUGGUGCUCGAGUGUACGGUUGUGUAUGUGUAGAGAGUGAGCGGUCUUGCUAUGUCUUUCUUUCUGCCUGUAAGGUAGUGAUUAAUCUGCUUGUCUGGUUUCUAUGUUUGCUCUACUAAUUUUGUGUGCAGUAACAGUGUGACAAUUUUUUUUGUGUUGACCAUCUGUCUUGCUUUUUUAAAGAGUAAAACCAAGGCAUAUGUUUUAAUACCAUUUGGAUAAUAAAGCUCGUAUGAAAUUGUUUUCAGUCCCCUCCAGACCCCCCUCAUGUUGUUCUGCUGAAGGGCUUUGAGCUCCGGAGUCACCCAGGGUUUGUUGUUGGAAAAACACCGGACCUUCUUCUUAGGCACAGUGUUCUCCACACAGAAAUUAAUGUAGUCCGUUACACAGUGAGUCAGACUGUCAACGUCCUCUCUGUGCGAAAUACAGAGCAUUUCUCAGUCUGUAGACUCAAAACAGUCUCUUAGUUCCUCACUGGAGGUUGUUUAUUCACCAAAGGUAUGUAGGAAGACAGCAGAUGGAUCAGAUUGUGAUCUGAGCGGCCAAGCGGGGGAAGGGGUGAAGAACUGUAUGCAUCUUUUGUGUUUGCAUACAGCAGAUCCAAUGUUUUAUUGCCCUUAGUGGGGCAUUUAACAUACUGUGUUAAGGUGGGGAGAGUUAAAGACAGGGAAGCAUGAUUAAAGUCCCUGGAGAUGAGAAGGAGGGACUGUGGGUGCGAUGUCUGCAGCUGUGAUGCAACAGUGUGAAGUAGCUCAUGGUACCUCCCUCGGCAGGUAUUAUGGCCGCAUGUUAACCGCUAGCAGCUCAAUAUCCUUAGUGCACCACUGCUCUUUAAGCCUGAUAUGCCCAGGGUUACACCAUCUCUCAUUCACAAACAUCACUAUUCUCUUACUGCUCUCCUUUGUUUUCCUGUCCACUCUCAUAAGUUCAAAUCUGUCCAGUAUAACCAGUGAAUCCAUACUGAGAUCGUUCAACCACGUCUCCGUGAAGCACAUGAUGCUACACUCCCGGUACUCCCUCUGAAGCCUGGUUAGCGCCGUUAGCUCUUCCAUCUUACUGGAGAGAGAUCUCACAUUCCCCAUAAUAACGGACGGAAUGAACGGUUUGUAACGUUUUUAACAGGAUGAUCGGUGUAAAUUGGUAUUAUUUUGUUUAAAGCACCACUAAAAGCAUCUACGUGCACUGUUUCUAUUCAGCUCUGGGCCUUCAUCGCAUAAAUUCGAUAUUCUGAAUCAAAAUAUCAUGUACACAAAAUCCACCUAAGAAGUUUCGUUAAUACUGUGGGAUGGCGAGAGCAUAUCCAGCAGGCACUUAGCUUUGGUGGAGAUAAAACCAUAUGUGCUCGUGUAUUGCUCCGAGAUUGCCUGUGUGUGCGUUUUUGUGUGUGUUCUGAUUCUCCUGGGGGCAGGUAAUGAAGAGGGCUAACUGAGCCAAUGACAUGACCCCGCGCCAUCAAAAACGGCAAAAAAAGAAAGAUAAAAGAAAGCUUGGGAACCAAUGCAGCGUGUCUGAGAAGGGAGAGCAAGGAGGGUCCUUUUCAACGCCGGGGUUGGCUGAGUGAUUAACCAACUACAUUAAGCAGUACAUAGAGAACUAACAGAUGCCGGAGACAGAAAGUAUGAGUGACAGCUCGUUGGCCCAUCUGCUCCCCAGCGUUUAGGAACAGAGAGAAAGAAAACAGAGCGCUAAAGUGCUAAAGAGCAACUGUGACUCAACCACACGUGUCAGCUCUGCGCCAAAUGUGUGCUUCAUCUGUUUUUUUGCUGCGUGACUUUUAAAAGAAGCAAGUGUCUGAAACCGUGCAGUAUGCAACUCUAAACAUUGCAAACAGCAGGAGGCCACAUUAUUUUCACGUGGCCUCAUCACGUAGCG
ensembl:lncRNA